rnacentral:rRNA from 1 species
GCCCCGCACAAGCGGCGGAGCAUGCGGAUUAAUUCGAUGCAACGCGUAGAACCUUACCUGGGUUUGACAUGGAUCGGGAGUGCUCAGAGAUGGGUGUGCCUCUUUUGGGGUCGGUUCACAGGUGGUGCAUGGCUGUCGUCAGCUCGUGUCGUGAGAUGUUGGGUUAAGUCCCGCAACGAGCGCAACCCUUGUUCACUGUUGCCAGCACGUUAUGGUGGGGACUCAGUGGAGACCGCCGGGGUCAACUCGGAGGAAGGUGGGGAUGACGUCAAGUCAUCAUGCCCCUUAUGUCCAGGGCUUCACGCAUGCUACAAUGGCUGGUACAGAGAGUGGCGAGCCUGUGAGGGUGAGCGAAUCUCGGAAAGCCGGUCUCAGUUCGGAUUGGGGUCUGCAACUCGACCUCAUGAAGUCGGAGUCGCUAGUAAUCGCAGAUCAGCAACGCUGCGGUGAAUACGUUCCCGGGG